rnacentral:lncRNA from 1 species
UUUUUUUUCUUUCUUUUUCCCUUUUUUUUUUCUUUUCUUUUUCUUUUCUUCCUUAUCUUCUCUCUUUUUCUCCUUUUCCCAACAACUUGUUUUUGGCCACUCUGCACUGAGCAAAAUGACUAGAAGGAAAAACUCACUUCAAAAGAAAGAAUCAGAAACAGUCCUCUCUCCCACAGGGUGACAAAAUCUGGACUACAAUUCAGUGUCAGAAAGCCAAUUCAGAAGCACUAUUAAAAAGCUACUGGUAACUGUAGAAAAAAGCAUAAAGGACUCAAGAGACUUCAUGACUGCAGAAUUUAGAUCUAAUCAGGCAGAAAUUAAAAAUCAAUUAAAUGAGAUGCAAUCCAAACUGGAGAGGUCCUAACGACGAGGGUUAAUGAGGUGGAAGAACGAGUGAGUGACAUAGAAGACAAGUUGAUGGCAAAGAGGGAAACUGAGGAAAAAAGAGACAAACAAUUAAAAGACCAUGAGGAUAGAUUAAGGGAAAUAAACGAAAGCCUGAGGAAGAAAAACCUACAUUUAAUUGGGGUUCCCGAGGGCACCAAAAGGGCCAGAGGGCCAGAAUAUGUAUUUGAAUAAGUCAUUGCUGAAAACUUUCCUAAUCUGGGAAGGGAAACAGGCAUUCAGAUCCAGGAAAUAGAUCCGCCCCCUAAAAUCAGAAGGACCCACAUGCAAUGAAUACUUGAUAAGAUAGUGGAAGAGAAAACACGAAAAAGAGGUGCCAUUGGUUUUAGAGAAGUGGGAUUAUGGUCAACUCAUUCUCUAUCUUCCCAACGUUCAGGGUGCAGUCCUAACACGAUGUUGACUGGGGCUUUCCCUGUUGUAUCCACUUUCUCGAAGAGGCUCAAUGAGUGCUAGACGCAAAGCAGUCCUGUGAUCGUCGCCCGUCAUCAUGCACUGGUAGACUGCAUGAAAAGACUUGAAACGGGAAAGGGAGUUUCAUUACAUAGGAGAGUGUGUGUUGGCUUUGUGCUAAGGCAGCCCAAGGUCCUCUUCUCCUCCCCUUCCAGCGAGGGAGAGGAAUGGUACUCCUUGGUCCCUCACCCAUCAAGUGGGGGAAGCUCUAAGAGAGCGAAUGGUCAGAGAAGCUGGCAGAGAGAGAUUUGUGCUGAAGCUGUAGCAAAUGUAGGUCUCCUCUCCACCCUGGCACCAGAAUGCAGUCAGACAGGUACACCAUGAGCGACUGGGAGACCGACAUGUGUCCCUGGAGUUUUGGGGAUGAGUAAGAUUGGCGCUUCCUUCCCACCUGGGCAGUAUUUAAGGCAGGAGGCUGACAAGAGGCCCCUGAAGGCAGGGAGAGGAGCCGGCAGCAGCCAAGCCUGCACUUCCGUUUGGUGUUGCAAGGAUGUGUGUAGCAUGGGCUGGCUGGAUGCUGCAUGUACAUCCUCCCAAUUUGGCUGCUGCUAUGAAACUUGACUUUGCUCCUUGGUCUCUGCUUUCAUGGAUGCUAUACUCUAAGGGCAGACAGUAAUCAAAGACUCACACGCAUAAAUAUAAAUCUAGUUGUCAGAAGUACUAACGUAGAAGGUACAUGGUGCUACAAGAGCAUUUAAUAGGUACAUCAGUCUAGUUAGAGAGAUCUGGGAAGCUUUCCUUGAAGUGAUACAUGAGAUCCCAAAGUAAGAAUUAACCAGAGGAACCCUAGGUGGGGAGGGUUGAGAGCAUUUCGAGGGGGAGAGAGCACCUUAUACCAGCUUCCUAAUGCCAGCAGGUGCAAGGCACAUGCAAGCACCAGAAAGAAGGCCAGUUAGGCCGAAAGCCAGGGAGAAGUGUGUGGAGAGGUGCGGAGCCAAACAGGAAACGCAUUAAACAAUUUAAAGCUUGAGGGAUCCCUGGGUGGCGCAGCGGUUUAGCGCCUGCCUUUGGCCCAGGGCGCGAUCCUGGAGACCCGGGAUCGAAUCCCACGUCGGGCUCCCGGUGCAUGGAGCCUGCUUCUCCCUCUGCCUGUGUCUCUGCCUCUCUCUCUCUCUGUGACUAUCAUAAAUAAAUAAAAAUUUUAAAAAAUUAAAAAAAAAAAAA